UUCGGCUGCCGUGUUUCCGAGGAAAGUCCGGGCUCCGCAGGGCAUGAUGCCGGGUAACACCCGGGCGGGGAUACGUUCCCGACAGAGAGCGCAACAGAAAGAAAACCGCCGAAAAAACCGGUUUCUCUGCAAGGAGGUGUCCGGUUUGUCCGGGGCCCCAGGGUCCCGGUCCGGUAAGGGUGAAAGGGCGGGGUAAGAGCCCACCGCGGUUCCGGCAACGGAACCGGUGAAAGGUACCGUUCCGGUUUUUACCGGGGCGGUAUCCGGCAAGCCUCAUCAGGAGCAAAGUCAAGCAGCGGUUUAACGGCCCGUUAGAUACCGCGGGUAGACUGCAGGGAGCCUGCCUGUAAAGGCAGGUCAAGACAGAUGGCAUUACACGGGAUACCGGCGCAAGCCGCCAUGCCCGUGACAGAAUCCGGCUUAUGGUUCAUCGUUUUUU
rnacentral:RNase_P_RNA from 1 species